rnacentral:rRNA from 1 species
UACGUAGGGUGCAAGCGUUAAUCGGAAUUACUGGGCGUAAAGCGUGCGCAGGCGGUUUUGUAAGUCUGUCGUGAAAUCCCCGGGCUUAACCUGGGAAUGGCAUUUGGGACUGCAAGGCUCGAGUGCGGCAGAGGAGACUGGAAUUCCUGGUGUAGCAGUGAAUGCGUAGAUAUCAGGAGGAACACCGAUGGCGAAGGCAGGUCUCUGGGCUGACACUGACGCUCAUGCACGAAAGCGUGGGAGCGAA